UACGGGGGGGGCAAGCGUUGUUCGGAAUUACUGGGCGUAAAGGGCUCGUAGGCGGCCAACUAAGUCGGAUGUGAAAUCCCCAGGCUUAACCUGGGAACUGCAUCCGAUACUGGAUGGCUUGAAUCCGGGAGAGGGAUGCAGAAUUCCAGGUGUAGCGGUGAAAUGCGUAGAUAUCGGGAAGAACACCUGUGGCGAAGGCGGCUCUCUGGGACGGUACUGACGCUGAGACGCGAAAGCGUGGGGAGCAAACAGG
rnacentral:rRNA from 1 species